rnacentral:lncRNA from 1 species
AUUGAAAUCGUAAAGAAACAUGGAUUUCAGGCGUAUCUUCACAAAAUAUUUUGAUUCGGUUCCAUGAACCGUUGAGGUCAAAAAAUACAUUAGGUUCCUCUUUCCUUUUCAGUCUUAUUUCUAACAGUGUCUCACGACGGUUGGUCUCGGAGAAAACUCCCCAAAGACGAUUUGUGUGUGCGCCCAUCUCUACACAUAAAGUGUUAAAUUGUCACAGUUUUAGUUUCAAUGUGAAAGAACUCUGGCAUUGUGGCAAUGGUAUGAAAAUAACUUGGUCGAGUGCACGAGGGAAGUUGGCUUAA